CCUACGGGUGGCAGCAGUGGGGAAUUGUUCGCAAUGGGCGCAAGCCUGACGACGCAACGCCGCGUGGAGGAUGAAGAUCUUCGGGUCGUAUCUUCGGAUGUCGAUGAGCGCGGUACCAUUAAAGGAAGCCCCGGCUAACUCCGUGCCAGCAGCCGCGGUAAUACGGGGGGGGCAAGCGUUGUUCGGAAUUACUGGGCGUAAAGGGCUCGUAGGUGGUCAACUAAGUCAGACGUGAAAUCCCCAGGCUCAACUUGGGAACUGCGUCUGAUACUGGAUGGCUUGAAUUCGGGAGAGGGAGGCAGAAUUCCAGGUGUAGCGGUGAAAUGCGUAGAUAUCUGGAGGAAUACCGGUGGCGAAGGCGGCAUCCUGGACGAAUUGACACUGAUGAGCGAAAGCUAGGGGAGCAAACGGGAUUAGAUACCCGUGUAGUC
rnacentral:rRNA from 1 species